rnacentral:lncRNA from 1 species
GCCAUUUAGAUCAGUGCAGUAACAGCUUUCAAUAAUCAAAUUCUACUUUGCAGUCCUGUUCCCUUAAGAUUCUUGUCAUAGGAAGAAAGCUGAUGUUUACUAAGCCUGAAGAAUCAUGGAACCUGAAAGUGGAUUUAAAUAGUCUAGUGUGAUGAUUCAUCAGAUGGCACAACUCAGGAGUUUAUAGAUGAUACAGUUGUGAGGAAGAACUGGAUCACCAUUUUGCAGAUGCAGAAGUCUAAGCAAGGAACUGGAACAAUUUGCUCUAGGCUGGUGACAAAUCCU